UGAGGAAUAUUGGUCAAUGGGCGAGAGCCUGAACCAGCCAAGUCGCGUGAAGGAUGAAGGUCUUAUGGAUUGUAAACUUCUUUUAUAAGGGAAUAAAAAGAGAUACGAGUAUCUUAUUGCAUGUACCAUAUGAAUAAGGAUCGGCUAACUCCGUG
rnacentral:rRNA from 1 species